AUUGAACGCUGGCGGCAGGCCUAACACAUGCAAGUCGAGCGAGGGGCGGGCGGGUGAGAAGUGCCUGAGAAUUGACCAGUCGGGGGGGAUAACAGUUGGAAAGGACUGAUAAUACCGAAUACGAUUGGAUUGCCGGGGUGGGAUUAGCUAGUUGGUGAGGUAACGGCUCACCAAGGCAACGAUCCCUAGCUGGUCUGAGAGGAUGAUCAGCCACACUGGAACUGAGACACGGUCCAGACUCCUACGGGAGGCAGCAGUGGGGAAUAUUGCACAAUGGGGAAAACCCUGAUGCAGCCAUGCCGCGUGUGUGAAGAAGGCCUUCGGGUUGUAAAGCACUUUCAGCGAGGAGGCGUUACCCGCAGAAGAAGCACCGGCUAACUCCGUGCCAGCAGCCGCGGUAAUAC
rnacentral:rRNA from 1 species